UCUACUCAUCUGUGGUUAUCUCAUGAUCAAGUUCUUCCUAAUGGUAGCAACACAGCAUAAGUGGUUAAAUACAUCAACUCUGGAGCCAGACUGCCUGUGUGGGGAUAUCUGCCAUCUCUCUUGCUGUGAUUAUUUAACAGAGGCUUGCGUUAACCCUGGACAUUGAGAGUCAUCAACAUCCUACUCCUGACCUCAUAAGCCAUCUAUUCUGCACCUGUCUUCUCCUUUCUUGCUCUUUUCAUGAUUCACCUGGGAAAAUAUUAACUGGAAGUAAGUGCACUCUCUCAGCAGAAGGAAAAAGAUCUUCCACAGUGCCUAGCAGGGGAAUCAGUUAAUGAGUGAAUAAAAAGACUGCUGGGAACAGAGAUCCGAGCUGACAUCAGAGAAAGAAAUGACCUUCUGCCAUAUGCUUUUAGUGUGAUCAUUGGGGACCCAUAAUCUUUUCAGUGCUUAGUGCCUCUAAAAGUUUUAAACUGGUAUUGGAUUCAGUUAAUUCGAUUUUAAGGCUGAGAGAAUGACACUGGGAUGGCGCCUGGGCCCCGCAGCUCUGCUGCAAGUCCAUCUGUGUGGUAACAUGAGCCUCGGCCUCCUCAGGAGCUAAUUCCACUUACAUUAAAAUUUUUCUCUUAUGGAUUGUGGUAAUGGUC